AGAUUGAACGCUGGCGGCAGGCCUAACACAUGCAAGUCGAGCGGUAGAGAGGUGCUUGCAUCUCUUGAGAGCGGCGGACGGGUGAGUAAUGCCUAGGAAUCUGCCUAGUGGUGGGGGAUAACGUUCGGAAACGGACGCUAAUACCGCAUACGUCCUACGGGAGAAAGCGGGGGACCUUCGGGCCUCGCGCCAUUAGAUGAGCCUAGGUCGGAUUAGCUAGUUGGUGAGGUAAUGGCUCACCAAGGCGACGAUCCGUAACUGGUCUGAGAGGAUGAUCAGUCACACUGGAACUGAGACACGGUCCAGACUCCGUA
rnacentral:rRNA from 1 species